rnacentral:rRNA from 1 species
GAUCCUACGGGACGCAGCAGUGGGGAAUAUUGCACAAUGGGGGAAACCCUGAUGCAGCGACGCCGCGUGAGCGAUGAAGUAUUUCGGUAUGUAAAGCUCUAUCAGCAGGGAAGAAAAUGACGGUACCUGACUAAGAAGCCCCGGCUAACUACGUGCCAGCAGCCGCGGUAAUACGUAGGGGGCAAGCGUUAUCCGGAUUUACUGGGUGUAAAGGGAGCGUAGACGGCGGUGCGAGCCCGAUGUGAAAGCCAGGGGCUCAACCCC